rnacentral:rRNA from 1 species
UACGUAGGGUGCAAGCGUUGUCCGGAAUUAUUGGGCGUAAAGAGCUCGUAGGCGGUCUGUCGCGUCGGCUGUGAAAACCCGGGGCUCAACUCCGGAUCUGCGGUGGGUACGGGCAGACUAGAGUGAUGUAGGGGAGACUGGAAUUCCUGGUGUAGCGGUGAAAUGCGCAGAUAUCGGGAAGAACGCCAAGGGCGAAGGCACUCUGCUAGGCCUGAUUUCGUGACUGACACUCAGGGACGAGAGCCAGGGGAGCGAAUGGG